rnacentral:rRNA from 1 species
UGGCCAGGUAAAAGUCUUGUANAAGGGGGUAGAAUUCCCAGGUGUAACGGUUGAAAUGCGUAGAAGAUCUGGAAGAAAUCCCGGUGCGAAGGCGGCCCCCNUGGACAAAGACUGACGCUCAGGUGCGAAAGCGUGGGAGCAAACAGGAUUAGAUACCCUGGUAGUCCACGCCGUAAACGAUGUCGACUUGGAGGUUGUGCCCUUGAGGCGUGGCUUCCGGAGNUAACGCGUUAAGUCGACCGCCUGGGGAGUACGGCCGCAAGGUUAAAACUCAAAUGAAUUGACGGGGGCCCGCACAAGCGGUGGAGCAUGUGGUUUAAUUCGAUGCAACGCGAAGAACCUUACCUACUCUUGACAUCCAGAGAACUUAGCAGAGAUGCUUUGGUGCCUUCGGGAACUCUGAGACAGGUGCUGCAUGGCUGUCGUCAGCUCGUGUUGUGAAAUGUUGGGUUAAGUCCCGCAACGAGCGCAACCCUUAUCCUUUGUUGCCAGCGGUUAGGCCGGGAACUCAAAGGAGACUGCCAGUGAUAAACUGGAGGAAGGUGGGGAUGACGUCAAGUCAUCAUGGCCCUUACGAGUAGGGCUACACACGUGCUACAAUGGCGCAUACAAAGAGAAGCGACCUCGCGAGAGCAAGCGGACCUCAUAAAGUGCGUCGUAGUCCGGAUUGGAGUCUGCAACUCGACUCCAUGAAGUCGGAAUCGCUAGUAAUCGUGGAUCAGAAUG